AGACGUAGGGGGCGAGCGUUGUCCGGAAUUACUGGGCGUAAAGAGCACGUAGGCGGGUAAUUAAGUCAGAUGUGAAAGACCGGGGCCCAACCUCGGGGUUGCAUCUGAAACUGGAUAUCUUGAGGGCAGGAGAGGAAAGUGGAAUUCCUGGUGUAGCGGUGAAAUGCGUAGAAAUCAGGAGGAAUACCAGUGGCGAAGGCGACUUUCUGGACUGACCCUGACGCUGAGGUGCGAAAGCGUGGGUAGCAAACAGGAUUAGAUACCCUGGUAGUCCACGCUGUAAACGAUGGAUACUAGGUGUGGGAGGUAUCGACCCCUUCCGUGCCGGAGCUAACGCAAUAAGUAUCCCGCCUGGGGAGUACGGUCGCAAGGCUGAA
rnacentral:rRNA from 1 species